rnacentral:rRNA from 1 species
AAGUCGUAACAAGGUUUCCGUAGGUAGAGGUUUGCCUACCGGAGCCCUUAGCCAGCGACUCUAAAGAAAUCAGCUAUAGUCGCCCCUUCGGGGGCUGGCGACGCCAUCAAUCUGUGUCUGGGAGUGCUCUCCAACAGGGGAGCACUACCGGCAGCUCGUUGUAAUUCGAGUUCACAGGUCAAACGAUAGCGGCCACUUCGGUGGUUGAGAUAUGAUCGGCCUCCAGCUGUUACCUAGCUGGGGAGAUUUUGCGGAACCUGCGGAAGGAUCAUUAAUGAGGUGAGGGAGGCCCGCCCCUCCGCGGCGAGUGUCGGUCGAGUCCUUCCGGGCUCGGUCGGCAGUCGUCGUGCUUCUCAACCCCAUGUUUACCAUACCUUUGUUGCUUUGGCGGGCCUUGAGCAGGCUAUACGGCUCAUGCCGGCCCCAGGCUUUAUUCCUGGGGGCGGAUCGCGCCCGCCGGAGGUUUAAUCAAACUCUAUUAUCAGUGAUGUCUGAGCAAAUAUCAAAUAAUCAAAACUUUCAACAACGGAUCUCUUGGNUCUGGCAUCGAUGAAGAACGCAGCGAAAUGCGAUAAGUAAUGUGAAUUGCAGAAUUUAGUGAAUCAUCGAAUCUUUGAACGCACAUUGCGCCCCUCGGUAUUCCGGGGGGCAUGCCUGUUCGAGCGUCAUUACACCCCUCAAGCGUAGCUNGNNUUGGACUUUCGCGGNNCNNNNNAUAGGGAGGGGCUCGCGGGUCCGAAAAGCAGUGGCGGUCCCCGAGGAUUUCGCGCGUAGUAANUAUUNUCCCGCGUUGGAAAGAAUCGAUGGGUCCUGCCAAAACCCCCCAUAAUCUCCAAAAAUUGACCUCGGAUCAGGUAGGGAUACCCGCUGAACUUAAGCAUAUCAAUAAGCGGAGGAAAAGAAACCAACAGGGAUUGCCUCAGUAACGGCGAGUGAAGCGGCAACAGCUCAAAUUUGAAAUCUGGUCCUUUCAGGGCCCGAGUUGUAAUUUGUAGAGGAUGUUUCGGGUACGACGCGGGUCUAAGUCCUUUGGAACAGGGCGUCAUAGAGGGUGAGAAUCCCGUAUGUGACCCGUGAUCAAGCCCAUGUGAAACCCCUUCGACGAGUCGAGUUGUUUGGGAAUGCAGCUCAAAAUGGGUGGUAAAUUUCAUCUAAAGCUAAAUACCGGCCAGAGACCGAUAGCGCACAAGUAGAGUGAUCGAAAGAUGAAAAGCACUUUGGAAAGAGAGUCAAAAAGUACGUGAAAUUGUUGAAAGGGAAGCGCUUGCAACCAGACCUGUCCGCAGGCGAUCAGCCCUCGUUCUCGGGGGUGCACUCGUCUGUGGUCAGGCCAGCAUCGGUUCGGGCGGUCGGAUAAAGGCCUUGGGAAUGUGGCUCCUUUCGGGGAGUGUUAUAGCCCUCGGUGCAAUGCGGCCAGCCCGGACCGAGGACCGCGCCUUCGGGCUAGGAUGCUGGCGUAAUGGUUGUAAGCGACC